AGGGUUUGAUUAUGGCUCAGAAUGAACGCUGGCGGCACGCUUAACACAUGCAAGUCGAACGGGAUCUUCGGAUCUAGUGGCAGACGGGUGAGUAACGCGUGGGAACCUGCCCAGUAGUAGAGAAUAACUUGAGGAAACUUAAGCUAAUACUUUAUACACCCUCCGGGGAAAAGCUUUAUGCGCUAUUGGAUGGGCCCGCGUUAGAUUAGUUUGUUGGUGAGGUAAUGGCUCACCAAGACUACGAUCUAUAGCUGGUCUGAGAGGAUGAUCAGCCACACUGGGACUGAGACACGGCCCAGACUCCUACGGGAGGCAGCAGUGGGGAAUAUUGGACAAUGGGGGCAACCCUGAUCCAGCGAUGCCGCGUGAGUGAUGAAGGCCUUCGGGUUGUAAAACUCUUUCGUCAGGGAAGAUAAUGACGGUACCUGAAGAAGAAGAUCCGGCUAACUCCGUGCCAGCAGCCGCGGUAAUAC
rnacentral:rRNA from 1 species